rnacentral:rRNA from 1 species
GACGAACGCUGGCGGCGUGCUUAACACAUGCAAGUCGAACGAAGAGCGAUGGAAGCUUGCUUCUAUCAAUCUUAGUGGCGAACGGGUGAGUAACGCGUAAUCAACCUGCCCUUCAGAGGGGGACAACAGUUGGAAACGACUGCUAAUACCGCAUACGAUCUAAACUCGGCAUCGAGGAUAGAUGAAAGGUGGCCUCUACAUGUAAGCUAUCACUGAAGGAGGGGAUUGCGUCUGAUUAGCUAGUUGGAGGGGUAACGGCCCACCAAGGCGAUGAUCAGUAGCCGGUCUGAGAGGAUGAACGGCCACAUUGGGACUGAGACACGGCCCAGACUCCUACGGGAGGCAGCAGUGGGGAAUCUUCCGCAAUGGACGAAAGUCUGACGGAGCAACGCCGCGUGAGUGAUGACGGCCUUCGGGUUGUAAAGCUCUGUUAAUCGGGACGAAAGGCCUUCCUGCGAAUAGUGAGAAGGAUUGACGGUACCGGAAUAGAAAGCCACGGCUAACUACGUG